UACGUAGGGUGCAAGCGUUUAAUCGGAAUUACUGGGCGUAAAGCGUGCGCAGGCGGUUUUGUAAGUCUGUCGUGAAAUCCCCGGGCUCAACCUGGGAAUUGCGAUGGAGACUGCAAGGCUAGAAUCUGGCAGAGGGGGGUAGAAUUCCACGUGUAGCAGUGAAAUGCGUAGAUAUGUGGAGGAACACCGAUGGCGAAGGCAGCCCCCUGGGUCAAGAUUGACGCUCAUGCACGAAAGCGUGGGGAGCAAACAGG
rnacentral:rRNA from 1 species